AACGAACGCUGGCGGCGUGCCUAACACAUGCAAGUCGAGCGAGAAAGUCCGCAAGGAUGAGUAAAGCGGCGCACGGGUGCGUAACACGUGGGUAAUUUUCCUUGGAGCCCGGAAUAACUCCCCGAAAGGGGUGCUAAUGCCGGAUAAGCCCCCGGGAGCUUCGGCUCCUGAGGGAAAAGGUGGCCUCUGCACGCAAGCUAUCACUCCUAGAUGAGCCCGCGGCCCAUCAGCUAGUUGGCGGGGUAACGGCCCACCAAGGCUACGACGGGUAGCUGGUCUGAGAGGACGAUCAGCCACACUGGAACUGAGACACGGUCCAGACUCCUACGGGAGGCAGCAGUGGGGAAUCUUGCGCAAUGGGCGAAAGCCUGACGCAGCAACGCCGCGUGUGUGAUGAAGGUCUUCGGAUCGUAAAGCACUGUCGGGAGGGACGAAUAAGGCCGGAGCUAACAUCUCCGAUCGAUGACGGUACCUCCAAAGGAAGCACCGGCUAACUCUGUGCCAGCAGCCGCAGUAACAC
rnacentral:rRNA from 1 species